AUAUUUGUUUGGGGAGAGCAACACAGUCCAGCAAGAACAAAAGAAAAUGAGACCUAUAUUCACUUACAGUGGUCACGACUGUGUAUUUUGUGAUGUAUUACCUCUCACCAGGUAAAAAUAACAUAAUGCUUCACCGGAUGUCCAUCAAUUUCUUCGUGUGAAACACAAUAGCAACGAAAUUGUGCAUGCUAUCAAUCCUGAAAUCUUUCAGCUUAUCUCUCAUUAUCGUAUUUAAUGCUGUAGGCAUAUUGAGAGAGCAGUAAGUGAAUAAAACAGAACGGCUCCAGCCACAAUGUUUGAAGUCAAAGAACAGGUUGUAUACGGCCCGGGGCAUGACUAAAGUUUCACACGGAAUUUGCAGUCUCCCCUCCACAACGGCCACAGGCUGGUCACGUGAUUCCACCUCCAUAUGGACAGGAGGCGGGGCGUGACUGCCAGCGCUCCUGGUUUUACUUGAGUGUACUAUGUUGCCUUUCCCGCCAGAAAACAAACAGUGCUUCUUGCCUGCUUCGUGUGUGCAUAUCUGCUUUGUUCGAACUUGUGCUUUUCGCCUGCUUUGAAUGUGCGCGUCCGCUUUGUUCGAAGUUGAAAAGAAAAUGAUAUCUUUUGAUGACAGCAUUGGGGAUGAGGACAAGAGAGAAGUGGCUGUAAGUAUUUAGAAGUAGUUGUACUAUCGUUAUCUUACGAAUCUUGUGUUUGGCAUCGUAGAAAUAAACCAAUGAAUUUUCCUCAACAGAAUAUUAUUCCACAAUGGAAAACGCAUGUGCUGCAAAUUCAGAGAAGUGCCAAUCUGAAACACAGUCAACGAAACACCUCAUUUUGAGGCAGUUGAUGUUCCGCCAUCAUAACACAGUUUCGAAAGGAGUUCAUGAUACUGCAGUGCAUCCUGCCACGAAAAACACCAACUGUCCAUCGAAAAUGAUGAUAAAAAUUCAUGUUGUGCACGAAAGGACCCCCUCCUCAUUUGCUCACAAUUGAUGAAGAAAGUACAUAUGUGUGAAGAAAUGGCACCAGAAAUGGUCUUCAUUGAUUCAACAGGAUCUUUAGACCACAAUGGCAGUAGAGUUUUUGUGUUACUCACACCCAGUGCAUGUGGAGGUUUACCGUUGGGAAUUAUAGUAACUUCAUCAGAAAGCUGUGAAGUUUUGCAAAUAGGCUUCCAGCUAUUGAAAGAGAUAGUAGGAAAAGAUAUUUUUGGGGGGAACAUUGAUGGACCACAUGUCUUUUUGACUGACGACUGCAAAUCGGAACAAAAUGCCAUUAUAAGAUCUUUUCCCCGUUCAACAAUCAUAUUGUGCAUUUUCCAUGUGAUGCAGGCAGUGUGGCGGUGGCUUAUAAAAACCAAACAUGGAAUACCGCAGGACAAGAAAAUGCAAUACUUUAAAGACUUUAAAAAAAUCAUGUAUUCAAAAACCAAAGAUGAAGCUACAGUUAAUUAUAACGCAGCUAAAGCAAAUAUAUGUGACGAACACAACAGUUAUCAAACAUACUUAGAUGGGUAUUGGGAAAGACGACACCUAUGGGCACUUCCUUAUCAAACCCGUAUGUUGAUACAGGGGCACCACACUAAUAACUUCAGUGAAGCGUUCAUGAGGAUUUUGAAAGACUAAAUUUUUUAGAGAAGAAAAGCGGUCAAUGUAGUGCACAUGGUCGACAUCAUACUCACAAGGGUGAAUUCUUAUUUUGAGAUGAAGCUGCUUGAUGCUGCUAACAGAGCAAGCCUGAAAUCUUUCCACGAGACCAUUAGAGUACCUACACCGGAAAUUCUGAGUAAGAUAAUUAUGAUUCAGGAAGGCUUUCUGUUGGUUCCAAGUGAGAGUACAGAGAAUCGCUUCUAUGUUGUCAACAUGGCUGUGCUUGUUUGUAAUUGUCUUGAGGGCAAUACGGGCAAGAGAUGUAAACACAUUGAUUGGGCUAAUAUUGUUUACCCAUCAGAAAAGUAUGAAAAAGCUAUAAACAGUGAAGAAAUUCGUCGAAAGUAUUAUUUUAUAGCGACGGGUAAGCAGUCCCCCCAAAAUUGGCUGAAGCCUCUUCAUGGACCCCCAAAGUACUGCAACAUUAAAUGAUGCUGAUGUGGAGCACAUUGACACAGAGGAAGAGAGAAAUAAUGUACUCCAGAUCAGUAUAGAUAAUACAGAAGAUAGACAUGAUGCUGAUGUGGGGCAAAUGGAUGCACAAGAAGAAAAACGUGAUGUUGAAGAAGAAAUACCAGGCGCAACACAUCUCAAAAACAUUUCCCACAAAACAAAUAUAAAUCUAUUAAACAGAGCGGUAGCUCAUCUCACAGAGCUAUCCAGUAGGUCACUGGAAGAGAUGACGAAGUUGAAAAGAAGAAAACUCCAUCUGCCUACGUGAAGGCAAAGCGAGACAUAAUAUGAGAAAACGCAUUCCGAUUCAGUCAACAUCAAUUGGAAGAAGAAAGAAGGCAGUGAAAA